rnacentral:rRNA from 1 species
CAGCCGCCGCGGUAACACGUAGGGUGCAAGCGUUAAUCGGAAUUACUGGGCGUAAAGCGUGCGCAGGCGGUUCGCUAAGACAGAUGUGAAAUCCCCGGGCUUAACCUGGGAACUGCAUUUGUGACUGGCAAGCUAGAGUGUGGCAGAGGGGGGUGGAAUUCCGCGUGUAGCAGUGAAAUGCGUAGAUAUGCGGAGGAACACCGAUGGCGAAGGCAGCCCCCUGGGCCAACACUGACGCUCAUGCACGAAAGCGUGGGGAGCAAACAGGAUUAGAUACCCGGGUAGUCCCUGUCUCUUAUAC